AGCACAACAAUAAUAACAAUUUAGUUAAAAAAACUUGUAAAGGUUUUGCUGCAUUAUAAAAAUUGAAUUUACUCGGAUGAAUGUGAAAUAGUGGUAGAAAUAAAUAUUAUGUUGGAAACGGGAGUCAAUAAGUGAUAACCGAAAACAGGUUACUGCAAUAAUCGAUUGCAACAAAUGUUCAAUAUUCGUCACCGUUAGGGCGAAUUGAAUGGCAGUGAGUCAGUUUUGCAUGACACGAUCAGCUGUCACUCUGCUUAAAUGAAAUCAGCGCUGAAAUAAAGAUAAUCAAAGUUGCUGUGUACUGCCAGAAGCCACAGCGUCUACCAAAAUACAACAAAUAUGCAACAACAGCCAUAAAAGUUUCUAUGAAAUAUACAAACCACAAAUCAUAGUGCGAAAUCCAACACAUUAUAUACACACACAUAUGUAUUUAUUCAUGUAUAAGUAACUAGAAAAAGAAAAAAGGAAUUGUUUCCAUGUG